rnacentral:rRNA from 1 species
AGGACGAACGCUUGCGGCGUGCCUAAGAAAUGCAAGUCGAGCGGGAGUAGCAAUACUCUAGCGGCGAACGGUCGCGUAACACGUAGCCAACCUGCCCAGAAGACCGGGACAACACUCCGAAAGGGGUGCUAAUACCGGAUGUGCCCAUUUUGCCACAUGGCUUAAUGAGUAAAUCAUUUAUGGCUUCUGGAGGGGGCUGCGGCCUAUCAGCUAGAUGGUGGGGUAACGGCCUACCAUGGCGUCGACGGGUAGCUGGUCUGAGAGGAUGGUCAGCCGGACUGGGACUGAGAUACGGCCCAGACUCCUACGGGGGCAGCAAUUAGGAAUCUUGCGCAAUGGGGGCAACCCUAACGCAGCGACGCCGCGUGGAGGAUGACGGCCUUCGGGUUGUAACUCCUUUAUCGGGAAGAACAAUGACGGUACCCGAUGAAUAAGCCCGGCUAACUCCGUGCCAGCAGCCGC